GAUCAUCGAAAAAUUAAGCGUGUUUGAGUAAGGAGGGUAGCCCCCAUUGAAAAUUAUUUUAAAAUAGGUCACAUGAAAAAUUGAGUAAAUAUCAUAGGUCACCAACACGCACAGGUUGAGCACCGCUGGUUUAGAACGGACGAAUAAAAAGCUAUUUACAAUAUAAUUAUGUAUUCAUUAGUCAUUACUCAUUAAUUAUUAUACACUGAAAACUUUUUAUAUAUACGAAAACAAACGCCCGAUACUGCUGAUGAGCAUGCCGUUAUUAUAUGAGAGAAAUCAGUGGAUAAAACCGUAGGUAAUUUAAUUAAAAUUUUUAACGAUAAAUGUGACAAUAAACCAUAUUACUAACAAAAAACGAAUUCUGAGCAAGUAUUAUUAAUCGUAUAUUUUC